AUUGAACGCUGGCGGCAGGCCUAACACAUGCAAGUCGAGCGGAGCGGCGGACGGGUGAGUAAUGCCUAGGAAUCUGCCUGGUAGUGGGGGAUAAGGUCCGGAAAUGGGCGCUAAUACCGCAUCCUAUUAGAAGCGGCUGGGUCGGAUUAGCGAGUUGGUGGGGUAAAGGCCUACCAAGGCGACGAUCCGUAACUGGUCUGAGAGGAUGAUCAGUCACACUGGAACUGAGACACGGUCCAGACUCCUACGGGAGGCAGCAGUGGGGAAUAUUGGACAAUGGACGAAAGCCUGAGCCAGCCAUGCCGCGUGUGUGAAGAAGGUCUUCGGAUUGUAAAGCACUUUAAGUUGGGAGGCGUUACCAACAGAAUAAGCACCGGCUAACUUCGUGCCAGCCGCCGCGGUAAUAC
rnacentral:rRNA from 1 species